rnacentral:rRNA from 1 species
AGAGUUUGAUCCUGGCUCAGAUUGAACGCUGGCGGCAGGCUUAACACAUGCAAGUCGAGCGGAGAUGAGGUGCUUGCACCUUAUCUUAGCGGCGGACGGGUGAGUAAUGCUUAGGAAUCUGCCUAUUAGUGGGGGACAACAUUCCGAAAGGAAUGCUAAUACCGCAUACGUCCUACGGGAGAAAGCAGGGGAUCUUCGGACCUUGCGCUAAUAGAUGAGCCUAAGUCGGAUUAGCUAGUUGGUGGGGUAAAGGCCUACCAAGGCGACGAUCUGUAGCGGGUCUGAGAGGAUGAUCCGCCACACUGGGACUGAGACACGGCCCAGACUCCUACGGGAGGCAGCAGUGGGGAAUAUUGGACAAUGGGGGGAACCCUGAUCCAGCCAUGCCGCGUGUGUGAAGAAGGCCUUAUGGUUGUAAAGCACUUUAAGCGAGGAGGAGGCUACUGAGACUAAUACUCUUGGAUAGUGGACGUACUCGCAGAAUAAGCACCGGCUAACUCUGUGCCAGCAGCCGCGGUAAUACAGAGGGUGCGAGCGUUAAUCGGAUUUACUGGGCGUAAAGCGUGCGUAGGCGGCUUUUUAAGUCGGAUGUGAAAUCCCCGAGCUUAACUUGGGAAUUGCAUUCGAUACUGGGAAGCUAGAGUAUGGGAGAGGAUGGUAGAAUUCCAGGUGUAGCGGUGAAAUGCGUAGAGAUCUGGAGGAAUACCGAUGGCGAAGGCAGCCAUCUGGCCUAA